rnacentral:lncRNA from 1 species
UAAAUGAAUUAUUUGGAUAAAAGUGAAAUCCUUCAUUUUCAUUGCACAACUUGACUACAUCAAGCAUGUGAUUACAUGAAAAAGAAACUUGCAAUACACUGUUCAAAAUUAAAGUUUGUUCUUAAAAGAGUCUGAAUCAUGUUUCUCCUCCAAUGUGGGUACAUCUGUUUUAAAAGGUAAACUAUUAGAUUUUGUUAUUGGUCAAAUAUUUUUGAAAGUUCAAAAUAAAUAAGAAGGAUCAAUUUGUGAGCAUGGUUCUGAACGCCUAAAAUAAAUUCGCUUCUACCAUAUCACAUUCUAUAAGCUUGACAUCGCCUCUACUGAAAUUAAUGGAGCUCUAAGUGAAUUCUAUUGUUGUAUGUUGC